rnacentral:rRNA from 1 species
ACUGCUCAGUAACACGUGGAUAACCUGCCCUAAGGAAGGGGAUAACCUCGGGAAACUGAGGAUAAUACCCUAUAGGUUACAGACGCUGGAAUGCCCUGUAACCGAAAGUUCCGGCGCCUUAGGAUGGAUCUGCGGCCGAUUAGGUUGUUGUUGGGGUAACGGCCCAACAAGCCGAUAAUCGGUACGGGUUGUGGGAGCAAGAGCCCGGAGUUGGAUUCUGAGACAUGAAUCCAGGCCCUACGGGGCGCAGCAGGCGCGAAAACUUUACAAUGCGGGAAACCGUGAUAAGGGAACCCCGAGUGCCUGUAUAUGCAGGCUGUCCAGGUGUCUAAAAAACACCUGGAGAAAGGGCCGGGCAAGACCGGUGCCAGCCGCCGCGGUAAUACCGGCGGCUCGAGUGGUGGCCACUUUUAUUGGGCUUAAAGCGUUCGUAGCUGGGUUGUUAAGUCUCUUGGGAAAUCUGACGGCUCAACCGUCAGGCGUCCAAGGGAUACUGGCAAUCUUGGAACCGGGAGAGGUGAGGGGUACUUCGGGGGUAGGAGUGAAAUCCUGUAAUCCUCGAGGGACCACCUGUGGCGAAGGCGCCUCACCAGAACGGCUUCGACAGUGAGGGACGAAAGCUGGGGGAGCAAACCGGAUUAGAUACCCGGGUAGUCCCAGCCGUAAACGAUGCGCGUUAGGUGUAUCGGUGACCACGAGUCACCGAGGUGCCGAAGGGAAACCGUGAAACGUGCCGCCUGGGAAGUACGGUCGCAAGGCUGAAACUUAAAGGAAUUGGCGGGGGAGCAC